rnacentral:rRNA from 1 species
UACGAAGGGGGCUAGCGUUGCUCGGAAUCACUGGGCGUAAAGGGUGCGUAGGCGGGUCUUUAAGUCAGGGGUGAAAUCCUGGAGCUCAACUCCAGAACUGCCUUUGAUACUGAGGAUCUUGAGUUCGGGAGAGGUGAGUGGAACUGCGAGUGUAGAGGUGAAAUUCGUAGAUAUUCGCAAGAACACCAGUGGCGAAGGCGGCUCACUGGCCCGAUACUGACGCUGAGGCACGAAAGCGUGGGGAGCAAACCGG